UGGGUGACAAGAUUCAACAUGUCCCUGA
rnacentral:piRNA from 1 species